ACGCUCGACACCUACGGGAGGCAGCAGUUAGGAAUAUUGGGCAAUGGAGGAAACUCUGACCCAGCAACGCCGCGUGAAGGAAGAAGGUUUUCGGAUUGUAAACUUCUGAUCUAGGGGAAGAAGGAAGUGACGGUACCCUAGGAGAAAGCCACGGCUAACUACGUGCCACAGCCGCGGUAAUCUGAGCGGGCUGGCAAGGC
rnacentral:rRNA from 1 species